UCGCCUACGGGGGGCAGCAGUGGGGAAUAUUGGACAAUGGGGGAAACCCUGAUCCAGCGACGCCGCGUGAGUGAAGAAGUAUUUCGGUAUGUAAAGCUCUAUCAGCAGGGAAGAAAAUGACGGUACCUGACUAAGAAGCCCCGGCUAACUACGUGCCAGCAGCCGCGGUAAUACGUAGGGGGCAAGCGUUAUCCGGAUUUACUGGGUGUAAAGGGAGCGUAGACGGCAUUGCAAGUCUGAUGUGAAAGAUUGGGGCUCAACCCCAGGCCUGCAUUGGGAACUGCCAUGCUAGAGUGCUGGAGAGG
rnacentral:rRNA from 1 species